CUCUCUCUCUCUCUCUCAGAACACGUUAUUUGGAAUAAUUAAAUUAAGGAAGUUAUACUAAUUGGAAUCCAUCCUAAUCUCCUUGAUUCUCUCUCUCUCAACACGUAAUUUGAAAUAAUUAAAUUAAAAAGCCAUGUCUUUGAUUAAGGAAACAAAACAUUCCGGGAAUUAGAAACUAAUUUCGAAGUACUAACUUUUCGGAAAUCUAUAAUUAAGGAAGUUCUCCCUCUCUCUCUCUCUCAGAACACGUUAUUUGGAAUAAUUAAAUUAAGGAAGUAUACUAAUUGGAAUCCAUCCUAAUCUCCUUGAUUAUCUCCAUCUCUCUCUCUCUCUCUCUCUCUCUGAACACGUUAUUUGGAAUAAUUAAAUUAAGGAAGUUAUACUAAUUGAAAUCCAUCAUAAUCUCCUUGAUUAUCUCCAUCUCUCUCCUCCCGGCCCCCUCAUUUCAGAACACGUUAUUUUUCCAAAAGAAACCAAAACCGGUGGCUAAAUUUUUGAUUAUCCUCUCACUCUCUCUCCUUCCUUCCUUCUAAUGUUCCUAUCUCCAUACAGUUGCUGUCCUUUUUCUUCCAGUGACUAUAAUUUCUUUUAGGGGAAGACCGGUCAAUCUUCCAAUUCCAUUGAAUGACCAAUCAAUUUUUGAUAGGAUGAAUUGUGAGAAUGUUAAGUGUUUGAUUAAAUGUAUCGACCAUAUGAGUACCAUUCGGCUAGGAAGUUUCUGAAAUUGAAAUUUAGCAAGGUUUCUGUCCAAUUGAAAUAUUGAAAUGUUUGAAUGAGAUGUUUGGGUAUCAUUUUUCAUUUCCUGUAACCAUGUAUGGAUCCUUUGAUUGUGAUUUUUUUAUGGUUUGGUCCUUACCCUUGCAUUAGGCAUCUUUUAAUCUCGGGAUUAGAAAAACUUAAAGGCAAUGACUAGGCAAAGGAAGACAACACAUGUGGACAAUGAAGAAGAAGAUUUACAGGUAAUUAUCUUCUUGCUUCAGAGUUGAAUCCGGUUGGAAAUUUCAAGAUCCUAAGCUAAAACAUGAGUGACUAUUCAUAAUCAAUGUUCAUUCUCGGGCACAAGGAUCACGAGCGGUAGUUUUCUUGGGUCUUCGGAGCAAACAGUAGCUAGCAGCUGGUGCUAGCUGGUUAUGUGAUGGUGAGGGAUUUGAUCAACAAAUGAGUUUCGACCUGAUAUCCCUCUAGAUUAAUGGAACCCAUUUAUGAAAGUUUUUCAAGCUUAUUUUUCCACAUAUUGUUUGAGUUUAGAUCUUGGGUGAAGGAUGAUGAAAUGGUAACAAAAGCCAUUUAAAAUUAUUUGUAUAGAAUGUCUUUGUUGCGAGUGCCAAAUUUUGUGGCCUCACUUUACACACGUACCUUUUGAAAAUACAUGUAGGUUCACUUCACAAUGUGUUAUAUUAUGUCUUUAGACAUAGACAUUUGAACAUAGUCAUUAAUGAGUGAAGAAAAAUACUAU